UUUUGAAAUUAUUAUAUGUCUGUUUUUAUUAACUUAUUUCAUAAAUUUUAGUUUUAAACUAGGAUUAGAUACCCUACUAUUAUAAUAUGUAUUUUUGUUAUGCCUAGGUAGUACUAGUUAUGGUCUUGAAACUUAAAAAAUUUGGCGGUAUUUUAGUCCCUUCAGAGGAACCUGUUCUGUAAUCGAUAGUCCGCGUUUUAUCUUACUUGGUCUUGUUUAUCAGUUUGUAUACCGCCGUUAUUGAGUAUUUUAUUAGAAUAAUAAUUCUCAAUUACUUUAAUAUUAAAGUUUAUAUCAGGUCAAGGUGCAGCUUAUGAUCAAGAAUGUAAUGGGUUACAAUAAUUUUAUUUAUAUGAAUAUUAGGAUAAAAUUCUUGAUUGAAAGUGGAUUUGAUAGUAAAAUUGUUUAGAAAGACGAUUUGAUUUUGGCUCUAGAAUAUGUAC
rnacentral:rRNA from 1 species